GAUGAAGAACGUAGCGAAAUGCGAUAAGUAAUGUGAAUUGCAGAAUUCAGUGAAUCAUCGAAUCUUUGAACGCACAUUGCGCCCCCUGGUAUUCCGGGGGGCAUGCCUGUUCGAGCGUCAUUUCACCACUCAAGCCUCGCUUGGUAUUGGGCAACGCGGUCCGCCGCGUGCCUCAAAUCGACCGGCUGGGUCUUCUGUCCCCUAAGCGUUGUGGAAACUAUUCGCUAAAGGGUGUUCGGGAGGCUACGCCGUAAAACAACCCCAUUUCUAAGGUUGACCUCGGUUCAGGUAGGGAUACCCGCUGAACUUAAGCAUAUCAAUAAGCGGAGGA
rnacentral:misc_RNA from 1 species